rnacentral:rRNA from 1 species
UGGGGGAUAUUGCACAAUGGGCGAAAGCCUGAUGCAGCGACGCCGCGUGGGGGAUGAAGGCUUUCGGGUUGUAAACCUCUUUCGCUAUCGAACAAGGCCCGCUUAGGGUGGGUUGAGGGUAGGUGGAGAAAAAGCGCCGGCUAACUACGUGCCAGCAGCCGCGGUAAUACGUAGGGCGCGAGCGUUGUCCGGAAUUAUUGGGCGUAAAGGGCUUGUAGGCGGCUUGUUGCGCCUGCUGUGAAAACGCGGGGCUUAACUUCGCGCGUGCAGUGGGUACGGGCAGGCUUGAGUGUGGUAGGGGUGACUGGAAUUCCAGGUGUAGCGGUGGAAUGCGCAGAUAUCUGGAGGAACACCGAUGGCGAAGGCAGGUCACUGGGCCAUUACUGACGCUGAGGAGCGAAAGCAUGGGUAGCGAACAGG